rnacentral:rRNA from 1 species
UGGUUCCUACGGGGGGCAGCAGUAAGGAAUAUUGGUCAAUGGCCGGAAGGCUGAACCAGCCAAGCCGCGUGAAGGACGAAGGUGCCAAGCAUUGUAAACUUCUUUUGUCAAGGGACAAAAUCAGGCUCGAGAGCCUGACCGAGGGUACUUGAAGAAAAAGCAUCGGCUAACUCCGUGCCAGCAGCCGCGGUAAUACGGAGAAUGCGAGAGUUAUCCGGAUUAAUUGGGGUUAAAGGGGGCGUAGGCGGACUGUUA